rnacentral:lncRNA from 1 species
AGGCAGGCUCCACCUCGUCCUUUGCUCCGUCCACUGGCGUUCUACUUGGCAGAACAAGGCGACUGUCAUGUCAUCUCAACACCAGCCUAUUAAAAAAAUCUCGCUGGCAAGAUGGUUAACCCAUCAUGAUCUGGGGGACUCCACUGGAAAUGACUUUCUGUGUGUCACCCUGUGUAUAAAUUGACAAGCUUUCCGAAACUCUGUGCUGACUCAGCAAUGCAUCCAUUUAUUCUCCACUCACAGUAAUUGGUUCAUGCCAAAGAAAAAAUCAUUAACCAUGUGAAGGUACAGAGGGAAGCAGAACAAAUAUCGAUCAGUGUUGUAUCCACUAAACAGUGAGAAUGCUAAUCAGUUCUUAAUUUUACUGCCUAAUUGUCACAAAUUGUUAACAUCACCCUUAAGCACUAUGCAGCCAGAUGUCAACCAUAAAAUCAAUUUGUUUUUAUUUACUGCAUUUUAAAAAAAACAAAGUUUAAAAGAAUAUUUCCAUAGCCACACAGCCUUUCUGAUUUCAAAUUAUGAAACAUUUGAUACCAGAGAAAGCGGUUUUUGUUCUGACCCACUUGAUCCCUCCUACAUGCCACUUUCCCUUACCAAAAUAUAAAACUUAAUUAACUUUAAGGCAGGGGGCAGAAAAUAUUAAUUUUCUUUAGAUUAUAGGUCGUUAAUACAAUAUUGUCUCAUUUACUAUAUACAAAAUAUAGCAACACAGAGAGCUGGGCUGAGCUACUCUUUGCCAGUUUAAUAAACUAUGAUGCAUGAUGCCAGAAACUAAUAUUAAAUCUACAUUCUCCUUCCUCUUGUUUCUUACUGAGCUCAACACUUUCUUCCUUGGACCUUGUUACGUGCCACCAAAAUUGAUGUGAAUCGCUGAGUCCCAGUGGCAGUUGCAUAGGGGACGUGGUGACCUGUCACCCCAUGCACCGUUCCGUUGCGGCUUCCCCCACCUCAUCACUAUUUUCAGUGGCUCAACCCAUCUUUUGACAGCAGUGACACUUCAGUGACAGAACCGCCCUGGAGGUAGUUCUCCGUGACGUGAUGAGAGCCAUCGGGCUCUGUGGCUGAAGGGAAGAAAUACUGUCACCAGUGCUGAAGUCAGGUAUGUAUAAAGAGGUCCCUUGUUUGCAUUGAACCAGAGUUCUCAGGUAAUUGUGAGGGCUUAGUUUAAUGCUGGUUAGCUAACUGAGACAAUAAGCAUGAAUUUACAUCAAGUUUGGGCAUAACCAGGAACUCCUGAU